rnacentral:rRNA from 1 species
GCUUACGGCCACACCGCCUGGUUCACACCCGAUCUCGGAAGCUAAGAUAGGUUGGGCUGGUUAGUACUUGGAUGGGAGACCGCCUGGGAAUACCAGGUGCUGUAAGCU